GUCCUCUUACCUUCACGAGAGCGGGACUACAGGAACGCUCUCUGUUUAUGUGCAUCUUCGUUUUCCUUGAUUCAGACAGCAUCAUUUGUUGAUCUGAUUAAAGAAUGGCAGACACCCCUCUCUGAUUCUGCUCCUGCAAGCCGCGAUUUUUCCUCCAAACAUGGAGUUUACUUCCUACAUGGAUGCAUCUCACACUCCAAGAAUGGCCAAGAGGAGCCCGGUGGUGGUGGUGGUGCAUGUCUUUGAUCCUGGUCUACAGAGACAGUCCUGGAGCCUCGUAGACUCGGCAUCAAGUAGCGAAUUCUGGAAGCUGAGCACAGUACCACAGAUCUUUCCAGAGCUGGUAGGAAGCCUGCACAGAGCGGGGCAGCUGCG